rnacentral:rRNA from 1 species
AUUGAACGCUGGCGGCAGGCCUAACACAUGCAAGUCGAACGAGUGGCGGACGGGUGAGUUAUGUCGGGGAAACUGCCCGGUGGAGGGGGAUAACCACGGGAAACGGUAGCUAAUACCGCAUACCAUCGGGUGUGCCCAGAUGGGAUGAGCUAGUAGGUGGGGUAACGGCUCACCUAGGCGACGAUCCCUCGCUGGUCUGAGAGGAUGACCAGCCACACUGGAACUGAGACACGGUCCAGACUCCUACGGGAGGCAGCAGUGGGGAAUAUUGCACAAUGGGCGCAAGCCUGAUGCAGCCAUGCCGCGUGUAUGAAGAAGGCCUUCGGGUUGUAAAGUACUUUCAGCGGGGAGGCGUUACUCGCAGAAGAAGCACCGGCUAACUCCGUGCCAGCAGCCGCGGUAAUUC